rnacentral:rRNA from 1 species
AUGAGUCCGGCGGGCUCUCCCCGGCUCGUUGUCGCCAACCUGGCAGCCUGCUCCAUCAGCUACCUCGACCGGGUGGCCACGGUCGGGGCCCCCCACGCCCCCUUCACCGAUGCCGAGUCCUUCUUGCAAUCCCUCGUGGAUCUCAAACCUCAAAUCUCCUGCCCUUGGACUAUCAUCGGGGAUUUCAACAUCACCCUCAGGCCGUCGGACAAAUCCACAACACAUUUCAAUAUGCAGGAGGCAAACCUUUUUGCCUCAACUAUCAACACUCUCCGGCUUCAGGAUCUGCCUCUCCUCGACAGACGCUUUACUUGGUCAAACCAGCAGGAGGUGCCCAUUCUUGUCCGGCUUGACCGGGCUCUGGCAAGCGUGGACUGGGCCUCAAAAUUUCCGGAUACCUCUCUUUGUUCUCUUGCCAGGACAACCUCCGAUCAC